rnacentral:rRNA from 1 species
UACGAAGGGGGCUAGCGUUGCUCGGAAUUACUGGGCGUAAAGCGCACGUAGGCGGCUUGUUAAGUCGGAGGUGAAAUCCUGGAGCUCAACUCCAGAACUGCCUUCGAUACUGGCGAGCUCGAGUCCGGGAGAGGUGAGUGGAACUGCGAGUGUAGAGGUGAAAUUCGUAGAUAUUCGCAAGAACACCAGUGGCGAAGGCGGCUCACUGGCCCGGUACUGACGCUGAGGUGCGAAAGCGUGGGGAGCAAACAGGG